AGAGGAAGCCGGUGCGAAUCCGGCGCGGUCCCGCCACUGUCACCGGGGAGCGGCAUCUCCGCCGAGCGCCACGGCCCGAAAGGGCUGGAAGGCCAGGGGAUGCCGCCGAUCCGGAAGCCAGGAGACUC
rnacentral:ncRNA from 2 species